AUAAGGAGACUUGGAUUGCUUUUAUUUGUUUCCAUCAAACACCUCUCUCUCUCGGUUAUCUCUCUCCUUCUGAAAUUUUUUUCUUUGGUUAUUUUUUUUUAUUAUAUAAAAUCCUUGAUUCAUCAAACCUGUUAGGUUUUAGACCCUAGUUCCAUAGAUCAAAUUGUAGAGGGUUCUGAGGGCUCCGAUUUAAUCUGAACGAAUCGAAAUUUUGUCGCCGGAAAUUUUUAUUUUCUUGGAAGCUCUUGGAUCUAGGUACAGGUGCUAUGCCUCCGCCAGGGCAUUGACUUAGGAGGACUCGGAGCUGAGGCUUCAUUUUUGUUUUAUCGUUAUUUGUUGAAUGUAAGCGCAAGGCUGUAUUUGCGUUAAGUUGAAACUUCAUUUUGUGUAACCAAGAAUGUUCUUGGAUAAAUUUGUAAACCUGUAGGGCACUUAUUAUCUAUUUGGCUUUCAUUUCAUACUUGUUGCAAAAUGUAUGCUUGGGUUUGGAACUGGGGCAUUGGGAUGUGAAUAGCAUGUAUUUGGCAUUUGGGAUUUAAUGGAAAUGGAUGUAUGGAAUAGUUAGCUAUAUA